rnacentral:rRNA from 1 species
AGAAAUGCAUCGUCGACCGGCUUAGAAGAGGCACCUUCCCGUUCGGGCAGAGUGUGGUAGGUGCUGCAUGGUUGUCGUCAGCUCGUGCCGUGAGGUGUCGGCUUAAGUGCCAUAACGAGCGCAACCCUCAUCAUUAGUUACCAUCAGGUAAGGCUGGGGACUCUAAUGAGACUGCCAUCGUAAGAUGUGAGGAAGGUGGGGAUGACGUCAAAUCAGCACGGCCCUUACGUCCGGGGCGACACACGUGUUACAAUGGGUGGUACAAAGGGCAGCUACCUGGCGACAGGAUGCUAAUCUCGAAAACCGCUCUCAGUUCGGAUCGGAGUCUGCAACUCGACUCCGUGAAGCUGGAUUCGCUAGUAAUCGCGCAUCAGCCACGGCGCGGUGAAUACGUUCCCGGGCCUU